GGAGAGUAGUGCAUAUAGAGACACAUGUUCCCAACGGAUUUGACGAUGGUGUUCGGUCUUGAAUGGAAUUGUAGUCUUAGGCUAGUCUUAGGUUUUUGAACAGGAUAGUAGGUAUCCGGAGUCGAUUGAGGGCCAGAGCAGGCACUGGGGUUCAGAUUCUGGGCAAAGUUCCCCACGUUGAGGGUCUCGAGGACGCCUAGAUCUCUUUCCCAGGGCCAUGGCGAACCCGAAGCUGCUGGGACUGGAGCUAAGCGAGGCGGAGGUGAUCGGUGCUGAUUCGGCGCGAUUUGAGGAGCUGCUGCUGCAGGCCUCGAAGGAGCUCCAGCAAGCCCAGACAACCAGACCAGAAUCGACACAAAUCCAGCCUCAGCCUGGUUUCUGCAUAAAGACCAACUCCUCAGAAGGGAAGGUUUUCAUCAACAUCUGCCACUCGUCCUCUAUCCCUCCUCCUGCCGACGUGACCGAGGAGGAGCUGCUUCAGAUGCUAGAGGAGGACCAAGCUGGGUUUCGCAUCCCCAUGAGUCUGGGAGAGCCUCAUGCAGAACUGGAUGCAAGUCAGUGCCCUCAGAGGACCCAGGAGUCUGGCCCACUAGGCCCCUUCUUCCCUAGAACCCAAGAAUCCUGGGCCCAGGACCCUCCUCCCUCAGCUCCUGAAGAUCUGGCUCCUCGAUCUGAUUCUUUUCUCUAUGGUAGAUCUCUAGUGCCCUGGACAUCCCACACCUGGGCAGUCCUGGUUCUGCCACCUGGCCAGGCUGGUACUUUUCGAUGCCCCACUCCAGGGCUGGGAGGCCUGGGCAGAGUGCUCUUCGUGCAUUAGCGGAUCUCCUGGCUUUAGUCCUGAGCCCGCUCUCUCCUUUUUUCUUUUCUUUUUUUUUUUUUGAGAUGGAGUUUCGCUCUUAUUGCCCAGGUUCAGACGAUUCUCCUGUCUCAGCCUCCCAAGCAGCUGGGAUUACAGGCGUGCUCCAUCACACCCAGCUAACUUUUGUAUUUUUAAUAGAGACUUGGUUUUGCCAUGUUGGCCUGGCUGAUC
rnacentral:sRNA from 1 species